CCUACGGGAGGCAGCAGUGGGGAAUAUUGCACAAUGGGGGAAACCCUGAUGCAGCGACGCCGCGUGAGUGAAGAAGUAAUUCGUUAUGUAAAGCUCUAUCAGCAGGGAAGAAAAUGACGGUACCUGAGCAAGAAGCGCCGGCUAACUACGUGCCAGCAGCCGCGGUAAUACGGAGGGGGCAAGCGUUAUCCGGAUUUACUGGGUGUAAAGGGAGCGUAGACGGCAGUGCAAGUCUGGAGUGAAAGGCGGGGGCUCAACCCCCGGACUGCACUGGAAACUGUACGGCUGGAGUGCAGGAGAGGUAAGUGGAAUUCCUGGUGUAGCGGUGAAAUGCGUAGAUAUUAAGAGGAACACCAGUGGCGAAGGCGGCUUACUGGACUGUAACUGACGUUGAGGCUCGAAGGCGUGGGGAGCAAACAGGAUUAGAUACCCCUGUAGUC
rnacentral:rRNA from 1 species